rnacentral:snRNA from 1 species
GGCACUGGUAGAUGGUAAUCUGGCUUCAGCUAGGUGGGGUUCGACUCCCUGCAGUGUC